rnacentral:tRNA from 1 species
UGGUGAGGUGUCCGAGUGGUUGAAGGAGCACGCCUGGAAAGUGUGUAAGCGUUAACAGCGUUUCGAGGGUUCGAAUCCUCUCUCACCGCC